UCUGGCUUUUUUUUUUUUUUUUUCCCCCUCCCCUUUCUCCCUCUCCCCCGGGGAAGUUUGCUCCUCGGGCCGUGGCCGGCUUUCCUCCACGCCCUUCCCUCCUCCUCUCUGCCGCGAUCCUCCGAGGUUUCCCCCGGCCCGCAGCAUGGCCAAAGUGGCGGCGGAAAGUUGCGGGACGGCGCCGGCCGAGGACUUGUCCAAGGUGUCGGACGAGGAGCUGCUCCAGUGGAGCAAGGAGGAGCUGAUCCGCAGCCUCCGCCGCGCCGAGGCCGAGAAGAUGAGCGCGAUGCUGGACCACAGCAACCUGAUCCGCGAGGUGAACCGCCGCCUCCAGCUGCACCUCGGCGAGAUCCGCGGCCUGAAGGAUAUCAAUCAGAAGCUGCAGGAAGACAACCAAGAACUGAGAGACCUGUGCUGCUUUCUGGAUGACGACAGGCAGAAGGGCAAGAGGGUGUCCCGUGAGUGGCAGAGACUGGGCAGAUACAGCGCUAGUGUUAUGCACAAAGAGGUUGCCUUGUACUUACAGAAGCUAAAGGAAUUGGAAGUGAGACAAGAAGAAGUGGUCAAGGAAAACCUGGAGCUGAAGGAAUUGUGUGUGCUGCUGGAUGAGGAGAAGGGUGGUGGAGCAGGCAGCCGGAGCUCUAUUGACAGCCAAAUCAGCCUGUGCCAAUUAACUGCGACGAGUGCUUACAUUAGAGAUGUCGGGGAUGGGAGUAGCACUUCUAGCACGGGAAGCACAGACAGUCCGGAUCAUCACAAACAUCAUCCAAGUACGAGCCCAGAACAUCUUCAUAAAGCUCGGGGUGAGGGAAGCCCUGAGCACCAGAAGCACAGGAGUGUCAGCCCCGAGCACCUCCAGAAGCCUAGGAGUUCGGGCAGUCCUGAUCAUCACCUGAAAGGACCGAGUCCAGAACAUCAGAAAACCAUUGUCAAAGCACCCGAGCAACAAAAGCACAGCAGUAGCAGUCCAGAAACUCUCCCAAAGCACGUUUUGAGUAGUAGCCCUGAACACUUUCAAAAGCAGAGGCCUGGCAGUAGCCCUGAGCAUCAAAAGCACAGCAGCGGCAGCCCAGAUCAUCUUCAAAAGCACACGCAGAGUGGAAGUACAGAACAUCUCCACAAAGUGAGGGGCACGAGCCCUGAGCACCUCAAAAAGCACUAUGGAGGGAGCCCAGAGCAUCUCAAGCAUCUCAGCGGAGGCAGCAGAGAAGGUACCCUCAGGAGACAAGUGACAGAUGACCUGUCCCCUCACCACAGAAGUAUAUACAAUGGAAUGAAUGGUGGGUCAAUAAACGUAGUGAGAGCUCACUUUGAAAAUUACUAAGGUAGUUUCACUUCUGUUUUGGCUGGUUAUGGAAACAAAGGAGUAUUUUUCUUAUGUGAAAUGGAAGGCAAGAGGUCUGGUGUCAGCGUUAUUCCUGUAGCAAGCAAAUUAAUUGGAGUAUACCUCUUUAUCUUUAUGUCCAGUAGGUGUUGGGUGGUUUAAAAAAGCAGAGAAACGAAUGUCGAGUGCUUGUCUAUAAGGUAUAAAGAAAUAGCUCUUGCUCUUAAUCCUGCUCCAUGGAAGGAAGCUGUCCCUAGAUAAAUUUGUUUACAUCCGUUAGAGAGCAGUUGUGUAUGUUUCUUGUCCUGCCUAUAUUUGAGUCAUUGCUGUGGAGCUGAAUGUCUCCAGUUUCUCUUCCACCUUCCUAACCUAGCCUGCCUGGAGCUCUAAGGAUAAUAAAAUCUUCUGUUUACUGAUGGCAGGCUUCUUAUAUCUUUUUUUAAUAAGCCUUAGAAAAGAACCCAAAUGAAGCGUGAGGCUCAAUAUAAAUGAAUCAGUACUUUCUAAAACUUCUCAAAGCCUUGUGUUUGCAUGUGUUUAAUUAUAACAAGUUAAAAAAUUAGGGAUGAUCUCAGAGUUUUUUUUUGUGGGUGUUGUUAUUGCUGCACUUAAUAAAGUUAGCCAACAAACAGUGCAGCUUCCAAGAGCUGUGUAUUCCCACUGAUUGCAAUUAACUACUUCAUAAGACAGGCACAACCUCAGUAUUUUGAGAGACAAUCAGUUAUGACGCUAUUGAAAUGAAUGACGUACAGCAAAUGAAACGAUUAAAACAAAGUUGAAGCAUCCUACGGUGCUGCUGGAAGAACUUUUUACAGACUUGGUGGAAUUUCUGCGUUCUGCCCCAUUUUCUUUGCGCUCCGAGAUGUUUUCGUAAAGGAAAUCAGCAUCUUGUGUACGUGAAAGCCCAUUUCUCGGACCUUUACACUUAGAUCUGAAGUCAAGUUCUGAAGUGAGGAUUUUGGUCUCGGAUGUAGUUCACACGUUUCCAUCUUAGAAGCAGCUGGAAGAAGUUGUGUUGACACCGGUGGAAGUGAACGCUUGUUGGAUCUGCUUGAGAGAUGGAGUGAGCCCCGAGCUGGGUGCCACCCUCAUCACUUAUGUUCCUCUCUCGCAUCUGUCCAUUUAUCUAUGAUGAUGAUCUUUACUGAAGGCAUUCUGUAAGUUAACCUGCUCUGUAGGGACAGAUCCAGAUUACUUACAGUGAAAUGGAUGUACUUGACAGGGCUGACAAACCCCACAGUGGUUGUGUGGAGGAAACUUGGAGAUGCUGCAGGGUCGUGCCCUGGAAUUAGGCAACAUUUGUCAGGAAACCAAUACAAAGGACCUAUGUAAAAAAGGCCUCAAGCACAUCCUCUGCCCGAAGAGAAAGAAUUGGAACUGCUGACGGGAGACAAAGAACUGGCGGUGUCCUCAGCGCCAUCCCGGCUGACGAUGGGUGCCUUCACUCCUCGAGGUUGUGCUGGGAGGUCUGUCUGAGGAGCUGGCUUUGCAGUGUCCCCACGGACUGCUGUCUCAGUAUGCUGGCUAGUGAAACCCUGCCGCCGCGCCGUCCAUUCAGCACCGCAUUUAGAAGCACUGAGAUAUUUCCAUUCGUCACUAGAAGACGAUAGGGAUUUUGCAGCAGUUGCAGGAAAGAAGUCGUUCUUUUGGUUAGUUACAGUGAAUCUCUAGUAAGUCUGAACAAAUUUUCCACUAGAUUUACCAGUUUUUCACCAGACUGGAGAGACGCUGAUGAACUGUUGUGCCUUUGGUCCCCACAGUUUUGACAAAGUCAUUUCUUAGCAACUCACACUUCGGUCUAUAAGGUAUCAGCUAAUGGUGCUUAAGCAAUUUACGGCUGAUUGUUAUUAUUAUCAUUAUUAUUAUUAUUAUUAUUAUUUGCUUUGGUAGAAUACCUGCCUUUGGAGGUGCUAAAAGACCAUAACGUCUCCUAACCAGCCGGUAGUGUAGCAUAACUACAGUACUUGUAGUGAAACACGAUUUCUUUCUAAAUGAAAGUGAAGAUAGCUUUCUGUUCAAUUUACUUUGAUGCGAGUCUUCUGAAGAUGUGUCUGACGUUCACGGCCCUUUAACAAACAGAAUACUUAGGUGUCGCUGUUACAGGUCUCAAAUCAGAAUUUCCAUCAGAGUUUUUUUUUUUUUUUUUCAGAAAGGAUUUUCCAAUUGUCAGGACGCUCAUUUCUACUGUUUAAUUUAGAAACAUGCUGGUUUAUUUAACAAGAGUCUAUAAGAAUAGGAACUUAAAAGAUUGUACUGCAUUAUAAUAAAGCUUUUCUCGAUACCGUAGCGUUCUUUGGAAGAAGAAGGUUUUAUUAUACUUGGAGCAUGUCUUUCAUUAUUAUGAGGCAGAAAGCUCUUGUUCAGAUUGCCUGAGAUUUGACCAGAAGAUGACCUAGAUGUGCUUAGUUUAUUUUUUACCUCUGUGUAUACUAGUUGUGUGUAUCGAACUGCAAUGAUAGGUAUUUUGUGUAUAUCUAAAAGCAACAAUAGUUUCAUGUAUGAAUGUGCAACAGGCUUGUGACCGCUGUUGCUUAACUUUUUACCGUAGCCAAGCAUCAAAAAAAAAAAAAAAAAAAACUUAAAGAAAAAAAAAUAGGAAUGCAACAAUUCCUGGGUUUCUGGUUUCUUCUUGGUUCCGAAGGUUUGAGUCUGUCAGAAUCUGUUUUCUCUGAGCUUGCAACAUGCUGUGUUUGUGAGCUAUUUGCGGUGGAAUGUAGCUCCGUUACUGUACAAUCUUUUGUUGUGUAGGAGUAUGAUGUAAAAAUCUGCUAACUGUCUUCAGAAAAAAAAAAACUGUGUUAGUUUGCAGCAGCAGUUAGACUGGUUUCUGUUGUUAUUUUCGCUUGGUACCAUCCAGCCUCCGACCCAGCACUGAUUUCUCAGCAAAACUCCUGUUUGCUCCAUCUCCUUGAGUUGGACGUGCUGUCAGCCUUGCAUUUCAUAGCAUUGCAUUUCAUAGCAUUGCCCUCUUGCAUAAUUUCUCACGUAUAUAACCCAGGCCAAGCAGCUGUCUGCUAUCUUGACAUGUUGUUUUCUCCCGUACCUAUUGUUUGCAUAGUAAAACUUAAAUUGUUGUAUUCCUAUAUAUCUAUAUAUAUGUAUGAAAAAUGUAAACCAUGUACUUGUGCCUGCAGUAUGUAUGUGCAGGGGCAGAGCUGAGGGACACUGGUCUUUUGACACUAUACUUGUGUAAAUUUUGAUACUGUAUUAAACUAUUUUUUUACAGUUCCGCAUACGACUGGGUAUCAAGUAUCUGUGUUCAUCUUAGCAAUGGUAAUAAAUUAUAGAAUCUCA